GACCACUUAGGAGGAGGCUGUGGUAGUAAUUUAGAAGAGAGAGCAAAGACAGUGGAAGAAUUGUGUUAGGGAGCUGCCAUCAAGCAAGAAACAAAAGGCCAUAUAUUGUAUCAUUCCAUUUAUAUGGAGUGUCCCUGCCCCCAUCCUUUCCCAUUACAUAUUACAUCCCAGCAGCAGUCAUUAAUAGUAAUGCCCUCAAAAUGCUAUGCUCUCUCCUGUCCUUGCAUCUUCACAUAUAUCAUUUCCCAAAAUGACUUCCCUGAUUUCCAUACCUGGAAAACUCCUAUUCAUCCUUCAAAUCGUAGCUCAAAGCCAUCAUACCCUAUCACCCCCAGACCAACUACCUCUCCUCUCCCCUAUAACAUGGGUAAGUACCUAGUUGUGUACCUGGUCCAUGCCGUCAACAAAAAGAUUCAAACUCUUUUUGACUGUUCUAUCAGUCUUAAGGGCUCUGUUUUAAUGUUAAUGCUGGUCAG
rnacentral:lncRNA from 10 species